GACGAACGCUGGCGGCGUGCUUAACACAUGCAAGUCGAACGGAAAGGCCCUGCUUUUGUGGGGUGCUCGAGUGGCGAACGGGUGAGUAACACGUGAGUAACCUGCCCUUGACUUUGGGAUAACUUCAGGAAACUGGGGCUAAUACCGGAUAGGAGCUCCUGCUGCAUGGUGUGGGUUGGAAAGUUUCGGCGGUUGGGGAUGGACUCGCGGCUUAUCAGCUUGUUGGUGGGGUAGUGGCUUACCAAGGCUUUGACGGGUAGCCGGCCUGAGAGGGUGACCGGACACAUUGGGACUGAGAUACGGCCCAGACUCCUACGGGAGGCAGCAGUGGGGAAUAUUGCACAAUGGGCGGAAGCCUGAUGCAGAAACGCCGCGUGCGGGAUGACGGCCUUCGGGUUGUAAACCGCUUUAGCCUGUGACGAAGCGUGAGUGACGGUAAUGGGUAAAGAAGCACCGGCUAACUACGUG
rnacentral:rRNA from 1 species